rnacentral:rRNA from 1 species
UAAGCGUUGUUCGGAAUUACUGGGCGUAAAGAGCGCGCAGGCGGUCGUUCAAGUCGCGUGUGAAAGCCCCCGGCUCAACUGGGGAGGGUCACUCGAUACUGAUCGACUCGAAGGCAGAAGAGGGAAGCGGAAUUCCCGGUGUAGUGGUGAAAUGCGUAGAUAUCGGGAGGAACACCAGUGGCGAAGGCGGCUUUCUGGUCUGCUCUUGACGCUGAGGCGCGAAAGCUAGGGUAGCAAACGGG